CCUACGGGUGGCAGCAGUGAGGAAUAUUGGUCAAUGGCCGAGAGGCUGAACCAGCCAAGUCGCGUGAGGGAUGACGGCCCUACGGGUUGUAAACCUCUUUUGUCGGGGAGCAAAGAGAGUCACGUGUGGCUCAUUGAGAGUACCCGAAGAAAAAGCAUCGGCUAACUCCGUGCCAGCAGCCGCGGUAAUACGGAGGAUGCGAGCGUUAUCCGGAUUUAUUGGGUUUAAAGGGUGCGCAGGCGGGCCUUUAAGCCGGCGGUGAAAUCGCGGGGCUCAACCCCGCCGAGCCGUCGGAACUGGGGGCCUUGAGUGCGGCGGAGGCAUGCGGAAUGCGCGGUGUAGCGGUGAAAUGCAUAGAUAUCGCGCAGAACCCCGAUUGCGAAGGCAGCGUGCCGUGCCGCCACUGACGCUGAGGCACGAAAGCGCGGGGAUCGAACAGGAUUAGAUACCCCAGUAGUC
rnacentral:rRNA from 1 species